CGUGGUUUAAUGGCACCAGAUUGCAUGGGCGUGUUUCAUCUUUACAGAACCAAUCAACUUACUCAGUUUAAGCCUCAGCUGGGUGUUACUUAUACCAACUUUUUUUCAGUAUGCCCUGAAGCAGGCCCCAAAGGUUCAAGUUAUGAAAUCAUUUCUGUGGUACAAUGCUGAAGUGUGCAUAGAGGACUCGUGGAGUAGUAAGUGAAAUGAGACAGAGGCGUAACAAGGAACUGACAUCAAGAAAAAUAGAGCAUACGCAGGAUGAUAACUGAUUAUUACAGUUCAUCCCCAGUUUGGACUAAGAUGUUGAGUGGACACCUGGCCAGCUGUCUGGAGGAGAUAAACCAACCCAUUUAGCAGCCCUUGCAUUACUCUUUGCACUAGAGCUGAAGCCUGAAAUUCUUUACUUUUUUUGUAAUAAGAUUCAGAGGCCGGCGCACUCACAGGAGAGUCAACACUGCAACAGUUCCUCCAAACUUGCUGUCACUUGACUGUUAGUCCAUAAAAUGUAUUAUUACAGCAUGUUGAAUAAUGCUGAGCUGGUUGAAAAAUGGCGAGGAUUUUGCCUGGAUAUGAGGAAAAUACCGUCUGAGAGCAGAGUGCACAGUCAGGAAAAGGCAGGUUGUACAGAGAGUCAUUUAGGUCAGAUUACUCCGUAUGAUGCAAGCACUGCCAUCUCGUGGAUAAUCUAAGGAUGUGGAG
ensembl:lncRNA